GGGAACUGCAUUUCGAACUGGCAAACUAGAGUGUGAUAGAGGGUGGUAGAAUUUCAGGUGUAGCGGUGAAAUGCGUAGAGAUCUGAAGGAAUACCGAUGGCGAAGGCAGCCACCUGGGUCAACACUGACGCUCAUGUACGAAAGCGUGGGGAGCAAACGGGAUUAGAUACCCCGGUAGUCCACGCCGUAAACGAUGUCUACUAGAAGCUCGGAACCUCGGUUCUGUUUUUCAAAGCUAACGCAUUAAGUAGACCGCCUGGGGAGUACGGCCGCAAGGUUAAAACUCAAAUGAAUUGACGGGGGCCCGCACAAGCGGUGGAGCAUGUGGUUUAAUUCGAUGCAACGCGAAGAACCUUACCUACACUUGACAUACAGAGAACUUUC
rnacentral:rRNA from 1 species